AGAGAAAGAGACAACCCUAGAGAGAUGGACAGAAAGGGCUGAUCGUUUCCGCUGAAGGCCACGGAAAAAUCGAGAGAAGCACUGAUCCCUCACUUCUUCCUUAUCCUCCUCGCACGCACGCGCGCGCGCGCACACACAGAGAGAGAGACGGAUAGAAAGGGGAGAUCCGCUGCAGUACAAGGGGCUCUCCUCCUCCACCUGCCGGCUUGACUAGCUAUGCGUGCUCUCGGCUUGGUGCUGCGGCACCAGCUCCGCUGCCUCCUUCAGAUUUGACGUGGCCGCGGAGAACAAGAGGGUGGUGGGGGGCUCAUGGCACUUCCGAAGCUGGCGUAUGACGGCGUCGUGGUGGUGGCUAUCGCGCCACCCAAGGGCUCGGCAUCCGUGACAGCUGGGGAGGAGAAGACCUUGCCAGAGUGCGCCAUCUCUCUGUUGGAGUUUGGGGAGAAGGAGGAGAUCCGACUCGGCUAUCAGACUCUUGAGAUUUUUUAAGUUGGCUCUGAGUAGUAGAAACUUAUAUGAAUCAUGUUUUUUUUAUUGUUUCUCCCUGUCGGUACUCACGAUGCUUAUGAACUGUUUGUCUGUUUGAUAUAGUGAUUUUGGUCACAAGGUUGUCAGAAUUGCGAUUCUAUGACUUUACAAUACAAUCUAACCC
rnacentral:rRNA from 1 species